AAGUCGUAACAAGGUUUCCGUAGGUGAACCUGCGGAAGGAUCAUUAACACUUUUUCAAAAAAGGUUUUUCUUUUAAGAAAAACUUAUUUCUACCCACCUUUUGGAUGAACUUUUUUGAUGGAGAUAUGACAACAUUUUUUGUUGUUAUAUUCUUUAUCAUUUUUUUCAUUAUUUCAAACUUUUAACCCCAAAAAACCAAUUUAUUUACAAAUUGCUAUAUCUUGAAAAAGCCUAACAUGUGUGUGGGUUUGUGUUGGUGUGUGAUCAAUUUGCAUGUUGCAUUGAUCACCACCAACUAAAAACUUAUCACUCAAGAAAUCCUAAAAACUAAGAAAACAACUCUUAACAACGGAUAUCUUGGCUCUC
rnacentral:misc_RNA from 1 species